rnacentral:rRNA from 1 species
GGAAUAUUGCACAAUGGGCGCAAGCCUGAUGCAGCGACGCCGCGUGAGGGAUGACGGCCUUCGGGUUGUAAACCUCUUUCAGUAGGGAAGAAGCCGCAAGGUGACGGUACCUGCAGAAGAAGCGCCGGCUAACUACGUGCCAGCAGCCGCGGUAAUACGUAGGGCGCAAGCGUUAUCCGGAAUUAUUGGGCGUAAAGAGCUCGUAGGCGGUUUGUCGCGUCUGCCGUGAAAGUCCGGGGCUCAACUCCGGAUCUGCGGUGGGUACGGGCAGACUAGAGUGAUGUAGGGGAGACUGGAAUUCCUGGUGUAGCGGUGAAAUGCGCAGAUAUCAGGAGGAACACCGAUGGCGAAGGCAGGUCUCUGGGCAUUAACUGACGCUGAGGAGCGAAAGCAUGGGGAGCGAACAGGAUUAGAUACCCUAG